CUGCCUGAUGGAGGGGGAUAACUACUGGAAACGGUAGCUAAUACCGCAUGACGUCUUCGGACCAAAGAGGGGGACCUUCGGGCCUCACGCCAUCAGAUGUGCCCAGAUGGGAUUAGCUAGUAGGUGGGGUAAUGGCUCACCUAGGCGACGAUCUCUAGCUGGUCUGAGAGGAUGACCAGCCACACUGGAACUGAGACACGGUCCAGACUCCUACGGGAGGCAGCAGUGGGGAAUAUUGCACAAUGGGCGCAAGCCUGAUGCAGCCAUGCCGCGUGUAUGAAGAAGGCCUUCGGGUUGUAAAGUACUUUCAGCGGGGAGGAAGGCAGUAAGGUUAAUAACCACAGUCAUUGACGUUACUCGCAGAAGAAGCACCGGCUAACUCCGUGCCAGCAGCCGCGGUAAUACGGAGGGUGCAAGCGUUAAUCGGAAUUACUGGGCGUAAAGCGCACGCAGGCGGUUGAUUAAGUCAGAUGU
rnacentral:rRNA from 1 species